rnacentral:rRNA from 1 species
GUGGGGAAUUUUGGACAAUGGGCGCAAGCCUGAUCCAGCAAUGCCGCGUGCAGGAAGAAGGCCUUCGGGUUGUAAACUGCUUUUGUACGGAACGAAACGGUCCGGGUUAAUACCCUGGGCUAAUGACGGUACCGUAAGAAUAAGCACCGGCUAACUACGUGCCAGCAGCCGCGGUAAUACGUAGGGUGCAAGCGUUAAUCGGAAUUACUGGGCGUAAAGCGUGCGCAGGCGGUUUUGUAAGACAGGCGUGAAAUCCCCGGGCUCAACCUGGGAAUUGCGCUUGUGACUGCAAGGCUGGAGUGCGGCAGAGGGGGAUGGAAUUCCGCGUGUAGCAGUGAAAUGCGUAGAUAUGCGGAGGAACACCGAUGGCGAAGGCAAUCCCCUGGACCUGUACUGACGCUCAUGCACGAAAGCGUGGGGAGCAAACAGGAUUAGAAACCCUAGUAGUCC